UUAGUUGUUAGCCUUUAGUAUUUGGGCAACAGUAUCGGUUAUAGCUUGUCCGAAGGAAAUAAAUUCGAACCCUAAGAGUUUUUUGGUCUUUGAAUUAUCAUAGUGAGCUAUAUGCUUCACAAUUUCUUUGCCUUCUCCUGGGACACCAGUUGCAAUUUUACCUCUGAGUUCGGGGAAGUGUUUAUUGAUGUAGUCUGCCACAUCUUGUAGAGCAUAAACAUCAUUCAACAAUACCAAUCUCUUCGAUUUAAGUUCAGGCUUCUCUAACGCUAACACAUGUGCCCUUGCAACAUCUCUUACAUCAACAAAUGCACCUGCGAAGUUCUUGUCCAACUCAUCACCUGGCUUAGAGUGCAAUAUCUUAUUUACAAUCUCGGUUGAGAAGUUUAAAGUGCCUUUAGCAUUUUCCUCGAAAGCUUGUGGCCCAAAGAUAUAGCUUGGACAUAUUGUAGUCAACUGGAAUUUUACUUGAUCCUUGUUUUCCUUCCAAAAGUCCCACGCUGUUCUUUCAGCAAAAGUCUUUGAAACAUAGUAAGCUGAGAAAACGUCCUUCUUACCAUCUUCAAAGCUGUCUGGGUUCCAAGACUCUUCCGUCAACGUCAAAUUAGAGUCAAGAAUACCUGCUGGAUUAGCCAAUGCCGAAACAGAAGAGGUAUACACUACUGUUUCUACAGUUUCCGAUGCAUACUUCUUAAUUGACUCUAAAACACGUUUAGUACCAUUAAUGGCUGGAAGUAGCAUCUCAUUCUCAUACUCGGUGGUGUCGAAACGACAUGGUGACGCUGUGUGAAUGACGUGUUUGAUCUGCCCGGUGUACUUCAAAAACAAAUCGUCAAAAACAUCUGCCUGCAACAAAUCUGGGACCAAUUCCAAAGUAAGGUUAUCAUUUUGGAAUAGCUUGGCGAUGUCCUCAGCUUUCUGCUGAUUCCUCACCGUCCCAAUGACUUUAUAGUUCCUUUCUAAAAGUUGCUUGAUCACGUGCUGUGCAAGAUACCCAGAUGCACCAGUAACCACAACGUACGUCAU
rnacentral:tRNA from 1 species